CUCUGGACCCAGCCAAUGGCUUCAUCGAAGUCAAUGGUGGACUCUCCCGCUUUAGCGGAUUCGAGUAAUUCGUAUAAUUUCGUGGUUGGCCCCAGGGUGUCUAGUAUUUUGUCCUGGCAGCUGUGGAGUGAGAACUCCAGCCCCUUCUUGGGCUUCCAGACAGAUUUUGAGAGGAAUUGGGCGAUAUGGGGGUCCACCACGGGGGUUUUGCAGGCCAUGUCUGGUACGGAGGGUCUGGGACACUCUGCUCGGAGUUUAUUCCUACUCUCGUUAGAGAGAAGAGUACGCAGACGGAGCGCCAAAUACUACGCAAUGUGCGUUGGCGGGUCCCACUCUGCCGAGCGAGGGUGGCGGAGGUUGUCCGGGUCGAACAGGGGAUACCCCUGAGGGUCCCGAACACCAUCCUCCACUCCCGUCGGUUCCACCAGAGGACUAGACUCCUCAUCCGAGUCAGAAGCCAUAUCAUUGUAAAUAUAAUCCGGGUCUUCUGACCCCAUCUCCUCACUAUGGUCAGAAUCUGACUCUUCGUAUUGGGCACGUGCCCGUUUCCAAUUUCUGGCCGCUUGCGCCCGGCCAGUGGCUCUUGUGCGUGGCAACACGCCAUCUGGGACCGCCAUAGGCGGGUCAGUCAGGGCAGGGGAUACCUGCAUCAGUGGGAGUGUUGAUGUAUGCUUAGUUUUGGCUUUUGCCUUGCGGGCCGCAGGGACUGUCAUAUCAGUUUGGGCCGAUAUAGCUGGUUGCACCUCUGGGGGUAACAUAAGUGCCUGAGCCAGGGAGUGGGAUAGGGAGGUGGACACAAACCCCAUGGCCGAAGCUAUGGCUCGCUGGACUGAGCCGGCCAUAGUGGAUUCCAGGAGAGACUGGAAUUCCUGAGAGGGUAAAAUACCCGGGUCUAGGCUAGGGGUGGUUAAGGUAUUCUCAAUAUUAGGGCAGCCAGGGCCCCCAUGUCCAUCUCCGUGAUUUUGCAUUUUAUUGUUUAAGUAACUUAUAACAGAAUGCCCACAAUUAGGAACAACU